CCAAUACUCCUUCCGUUCGAAAAAACUUGUCCCAAGUUUAUCUCUCAAAUGGAUGUAUCUAGCAUUAACUUAGUGCUAGAUACAUUCAUUUGAGGGACAAACUUUUUCGGACGGAGAAAGUAGGUG
rfam:Triticum urartu cultivar G1812 contig797783, whole genome shotgun sequence.